rnacentral:rRNA from 1 species
GAUGAACGCUGGCGGCGUGCCUAAUACAUGCAAGUCGAGCGAACAGACGAGGAGCUUGCUCCUCUGACGUUAGCGGCGGACGGGUGAGUAACACGUGGAUAACCUACCUAUAAGACUGGGAUAACUUCGGGAAACCGGAGCUAAUACCGGAUAAUAUAUUGAACCGCAUGGUUCAAUAGUGAAAGACGGUUUUGCUGUCACUUAUAGAUGGAUCCGCGCCGCAUUAGCUAGUUGGUAAGGUAACGGCUUACCAAGGCAACGAUGCGUAGCCGACCUGAGAGGGUGAUCGGCCACACUGGAACUGAGACACGGUCCAGACUCCUACGGGAGGCAGCAGUAGGGAAUCUUCCGCAAUGGGCGAAAGCUUGACGGAGCAACGCCGCGUGAGUGAUGAAGGUCUUCGGAUCGUAAAACUCUGUUAUGAGGGAAGAACAAAUGUGUAAGUAACUAUGCACGUCUUGACGGUACCUAAUCAGAAAGCCACGGCUAACUACGUG